AGUUUUGUAGUUAAAAAAAUAAUAAAAAGUUUGAAACUUUUAGUUGGAGGGUGGACUCCCAUACUUA
rnacentral:tRNA from 1 species